rnacentral:lncRNA from 1 species
ACGAGCGGGGACGAGCAGUGUGCAGGCGGCGAGCUCGGGCCCCUUCCGCGACUCCCGAGCGCGAGCCCGCUUCCUGGAGCCUACAAGAGCGGCAGCGGCAAAGGCAGAGCUUCGCGAGGGCGACAGUCGACUGCUGUGAGUGCUCUCGGAGAGGCCCAGGCGGCGGCGGUUCCUCUCGGGUUACGGUGAAGAAUGUCAGCCACUAGCGUGGAUCAGAGACCUAAAGGGCAAGGAAAUAAAGUUUCAGUACAAAAUGGUUCGAUUCAUCAAAAAGAUGCUGUAAAUGAUGAUGAUUUUGAGCCAUACUUAAGUAGCCAGACAAAUCAGGAGAGAAAUAGAAACAAGCAAUAACCACCGUGUGGAGAUGUCCUAUUAAAAUGACAACACUAAUGAUGUAGACUCUGGAAAUGCCUAAUAAGUCAAAGAAGACGUUAUUAAAGCUUUUUGUUUUCUGCUUAAGGUGACAUCUUUGAACCCUUUUAACACAAAAUUGACUCUUCUUGUAAUGGUUUUCAUCAGCGCAUCUGCCCUUAUUCUCUCACCAAACACACUUGAGAACUGUAACUUCAUCAAGCACUUUGUGUCCUGAAGCUUUUACCAGUACCUGCUGUCUUUUGUAAUUAUGCAUCCUAGCUAAGGCACAGAAGACUGAAUGAAUUGCAAGGAUUCAUUAACUCUUUGAAUUUGUUAAGUACUAACAGUUAACCAAUAGAAGUGGUUCAAUGAUGUAAGAGUCUCACUGCUUCAAUCUUUUCAUUGUUGUAGUUUU